AAAAGAGAGCGCACAAAAAAAGGGAAAUUAAAAAGGUGUUCGUUGGGUUUAACUGUGAGUAUGUGGCUAACAUGACGUAUACUUGAUAUGCCCAGACUGCUAAUUGAUUAGGCGAACAAUGCCCCAAUGCCCGAAAGGGAAGGGUUCGAGGUGAAAGGGUGCAGUUGUGGCACAUUGGCAAGAGAAAGGCUUGCCGCAAAGGAUAUUGUUACAAAGUGUUGCGAACCACAUUGAAGUUAUGUUGGAAUUAAGCGGUUAUGUAUAAUGCAUUAAUGGCUUUCUCAGUUGCAUUGCUAAACGUAUAUUCUAUUUGCAUUUGUUUAUACCCCUUAUGCGUUGCAUCGUUUAAAACAAUUAUUAAAUCAGCGUUAUUUAAUUUCCAACUUGUAGUGAAGCCAAUAAGAAAAUGAUUUCCCGUUAAGCACUAUCUGCAAGAUUUCAUCCUCCCAUUGGGAAAUUUUUCCAAUUCCUGCCACAGCAUUUACCGCCCAUCUGCAGCGAUAUGGCAUCGCUCAUUUGUCAUUUUAACAGCUGCCGGGCCUUGGCUCUAGCCCCAUCCCCAUUGAGUUCCAUCCGCAUCUCUAUCCUCCUCCAGGCAAAGGUCAAGCUGGAAAAGUCCCACGCAUUGCAUAAGCUCUGCCAUUGUUCCAUGAUUAAUCACACAGAAAGAGGGGAGAAAAGAAAGAUUUUCCGCAGAGAGCGAUAUUCAAUUUAUCAAACAUCAAGAAAAUAAUUACAAGACAAUUGACGCCAAGGGGUCAGAAAGGGGAAAGGUGGGCGUGACACCCAGUGACACCCACACAUGCGAGGCGAGGAAAAUGCGAGUCAUGGAAACUCCCAACUUACAACUCCCAAGCGGGCUUCCACAAUCUGGACAUUGAUCUCCAUACAAACAGUUUAACCCGGCGAACUCUUGCAUCACCGCCGCCAAAAUGUGAAAAAUCAACAAAAGGUGCGCAGAGUUGAAAUUAGAAAUCGAUAAGUUAGGGGAAAAGCAGGCUCUCUUAGAGCCAACCUCUUCACCCCAAAGUGUUCAAAGUGUUCAAACUGUUCGAAGCACGGACAUUUAUUUAUGGCCCCGGACACAUCCUUACUCAAAUGGCAGUCUAGAGCCUAGAGCCCCUCGAUCGAACCGAAACGAAAACCCAAACCCAAACCCAAACAUACAUUUUCAUUUUCACCUGCUUGAGAUCUUCAUUGAACUGCAAAUCGUUGACUCCCUUUCGGCACUGGCAAAUUGAAAUGUCACACAGAUUGGGGUUCACUUUAAGAAAUGGCAAAUUUAUGAAAAUGAUUUUCCUGGACAGACACAGCUUGCUUGCCUCCUUUUCCGCUUCCCCUUCUCCUGCUCCUGCUCUUGAUUUACCUUUGGUAAUGGCCAAAUUGACACUCAAAGGCAGCUGCCACAAAACCUCUCGCAAAGUCACCUCUUGCAACUGCACUCUGCCAUUUGCCGUUUGAAGAAUGAUCCGAGAAAGCGACGGCGCUGCGAGAAAGAUUUAUGGGGAAGCCUUGGCAAAUCUUCCCCCUCCCCUCCCUUGGCGACGGGGAAAAGCGGGAAAGUUUUGACAGGCUGCCUGGGAUUUUUCUCCUUUUUUCGGUGGGUUACUUUUACCGCCAUCAUAUAUUUCUGGGCAGUAAAUUUAAUUAUACUGGGGGGAAUUUUAAUAACUUAAUCGCGUUGAAGGCUGCAAGAAGGAGUUUGUCAAAUUUCAAAAGCAUUUUUCAAACUCCAUUUUAGGACUAAGGCAAGCCAAGCCAAGCAAUUUUCUGCAUCAAAUUGUUUUGCAUUAUGAUUUUAUCAUUAUAGCUAAUUAUGAGACUGCGACUGCAGAAACAAAAGAAUUCUGAUCGGCACAGCGACUCGACUCAUUUUCAGAGGCUUGGCCUGCUUGGUUAGGUAAAUAGAUAAAUGAAGUGAACCCCGCUUUAGCUUAACCAAGUCGAGUCAUCGGAGAAGAGCGCCUCUGGCACAGAACAAACUUUGCAAAUAGUCGUAGAUGGCAAGUAAGACCUCUUCGCAGGAGGAGCGGGAGUGGGAGUGCAGACACAAAACCGAGGAGCAUCAGGAGAGGCAGGUGUGGGCUGCUUAUUUGCGAUACUUGAGGCUCAUUACCAGAACUGAGGAACUGAAGACCAUAGACCACAGACCGAAGAACCAGAGACCCCAACAAAGUCGAAGCCCAGACCCAACCCUAGUAAGCAGCCGAAACCACAACAUUGUGUCUUUUUUGGAGGAACGCCUUUCUCUUUGUUUUCGGUCUCGGCUCCCAAACCGAAAACCAAAAACCAAAAACCAAGCGAUCCGGGCCCAAACUGAGCUGAACCACUCCCAAUCUUGGCACGACUCUAAGGUCUGGGCAGGCAUUGCCUUAAUGCAUUUGCCGCCACCCACCCACUUGGGGAGCGCUGGAAAUAUGAGAAUUUAGAAUGCAGAAUGCGGUGUGCAGACUGCAGAACUUUAUGCAAAUUCGUGACUAAUCUCCGCCGGCUGAACUUGAGGAGCAGCCGUUCUUUUUAUUAUUUGUAUUAUUUUCUGCGCGCCAGACUCUCGAGAGGUCUCAAGAUUAUUGGCGGGCGUAGGAAAUAAUAAGAGAAAUCAGGGAAAACAAAUUGAAGUCAGUGCGAAGUUCUCAAGAUUGAAAUCUGAUGCAAAAAAUACAAAAGUGGAAAAAAAACAGCACGAGCGAAUGGCAAGAAAAGUGAAUGUGUCGGCCUACCGGGGGUGUGAAAGUGCUGGAAAAAACACUCCAUUUCAGAGCAUGAAUUGCCAGAAAUUGAGGAUGUUAAACAAGAGCUUUAAAUAGGUUCUACGAACUGAAGACGAAUCCGAAAGGCUAUUGAUUUUGCCAGCAUUGCCAUUUUUAAACCGCUUUUUUCAAAGAUUAACUUUCAUGUUUAUAUUUCCCCAACAAUUUAAAAUCUUUUAAUAAUUAAUAAUCUCGUUGAAUGAUUGCCAUCUUCUUAUUAACGCAGUGAAAAAUUAGUUUUCCCCUUGACUUUUUAUUGCCAGCUGGCUAAUUGUUUUUCUCGGCUGAAUCUGCCCAUUUUUCUCUACUUAGUCACGCGAAUUGCAACACAUUUUUAGGCACUAUUGGAAUUCACUGUGUCUUCCAAAAGUCUGCCUACCAAAUUACAUUUUCCUCGCCAGUUUCCUCUGCGCUGUGCUCAUACAUGCGAAAUGUUCAUCGCCCCUCGGAAUCGGUCAAAAUAAGUUCCUCUAAUGCGUUGGCUAUUUUUACUCACAACCGCAACUCAAUAGAAACUGUGUGCUGGGCGCGUCGCGUAUCUAUAUCUCUAUCUUUGUAUCUGUAUCUCGGAUGUCUGUGGCCGAGGUUCGUUGACUCAGCGAGACUGCUGUUGCUGUAAUUCGGCGUGGUUGAGAAUGACCAAAGAAUUGAGCAAUCGGCUUCGGCAUACUAUACAUAUAGUAUGUAUAAAAAAGCAACAAUGGCCCACCGGAUCGUACAUUCAUUAUCGGAAAUGUCAGUGCGUGACCUCGACCGCGUUUUUAGAAUUUUACAAUUUGGGUUUACAUUAUAUUGGCCUGCUGUGGCAGGCAACGCCUUCAGAUAUUGUUUGAUUCGCCAGAGGUUGAUUAUGAAUAGAAUCUCAAAGAAUUCUAUAAAUUAACAAAAGACAUUAUUUAGUGUCUGCAACAGUGGCGAUUAAAGGCUUGAAAGGCGUGACCAAAACGUGUUUAAGUCAUUUGCUCAAAGAUUAUGAAUAAUGCAUUGUGUUCAAAGAACUAAUAUGUAACAAAAGUAGCUGUUAAGGAAAGAACGUUUAUUUAAAAAAAGUUUCGCCUUCAAACGUUUUUUCAGACGUCUAUCAAAUUGGCAUAAAUCUCUUCCUAAAAGAAAUCAAAUUUAUAGCCAAUUUUUUUUGAAGCGGGAACACGACAACAACCCAAAUUCCACCAGAAUUGUCUUAUAGAGAACAUUUCCAAGAUGUCACAUAAAUUGGGAACGCACGAACAAAAAAUAAAUUCUCUUUUUGUACGUUUUCUAUGCGGUUCCUUUUUGCCUUUUUGCAAACAUUUUUAUGUGAAGUAGUCACGACAUUUGGAACACUUCCAAAUCGGCCUAAAAAUAGAGUUCAACCAAAUAGAAUUAGACGAAAAUCAGGCAGCGACUCUAAUUACCCAAGAAACCUGGGAGAUGAAAAGGGACAGAGAGAGAGUUGAUAAAUACAAACGGAAAGGAGAAGGCAAACAAAUUGACAAAGUCCGGGAAAAGGAGAUGAUGAUGAUGGAGAUGUUCCAGGUUGAAAGACGACCCCGAAAGUGCAAUUAAUCAGCUGACCCAAAAAGCCACUCACAGUUCUCCAGUUUCCACUAGAACUCAACUGGAAUUGAUGUCGUCGACGUGCCGUGACCAAAUGCAUCGGAGGCAUCGGGAAUUAUCUCUCUUUGAAGAUCCCGAGAUCCCGCGAAUGUGUGAAGUUAAGUCGGGAGACGCAGUUAAAGCCCGACCUGGCCUAUUGAGUAACAUACACUCCAGCAUCGGACAAGGAGUUUUGGGUUAGCAAAGGCUUCUGAAUAUGAAUCUGAGUCUGAGUCUGAGUCUGAGUCCGAGUCCGAGUCCGAACACCGUUGACAUAAUCACGUCCGAGUGUCACGUUCAACUCUUCGCCGGCGACAAAGAUGAUGGCCGGAAUCCCGUCCCGUCUCCACUCGUCUCGCUUUUGGCUUUGUUGGCAUCACGUUCUUGGGUCGGAGCCAUGGACCAGAGAACAAGUUUGCCGCUUUGUCGUGGAAAUCUCGCUGCUCAUUGUGGUCUCAUUAGAAGCAUGUUACAUGGAAACUGAUUACGAAAUUGCUCAACUGCCGCCUCUGGCCGGGGCGACUUUAACUGUUUUUCGUGCUUAUUUUCAGUGAAAUUAGGGAAAACAUAUUUUGAUACGAAUACGGUGUGAACAAACAUCGCUUUCCAGCCGUAAGUGAAAAGCGUACUUCGAGGAAAAGCGGGAAGGCGAUUCUCAAUACUUGAACUUUCUACUCAAGUCAUGUGUUCUUGAAGCUCUUCAUGUAUUUAAGAUCUCUCAACUUUUUGUUAGCUGUCAUAAAUGCGUUCUCUUAUCUGACGCAAAGUUCAGGGAGCUCGUAAAUCGAUCUUAAAUGGAAACGAGAUCAAUAACUAACUUAACCCCAAUUAAUACUUUAAGCCCCAAGCUGAUAGUUUUGACGUCUCCCUUAUCUUGUGACACAUUAUGUUCUCACUUGAUUUCGCCCUUUCUGUAAUCUCUAAACUUGUUGACCUUCCCAGCUAAGCCUAUCUCUACUGAACUGUAUCGGCCCCCGGAAAAACUGUAAAACUGUCGCCGCUUCAAGUAACCUUCAAUCGAGUAGAGCUGCAACGGAACAAUUAAAGAUAAUUUUCCUAGGCAAAUGACGCAGCUUCAGCUUUUCGGAUUGAGGGGCACAACUCACCGAAAAUAGCCUUGCCCCUGGGUGGUGACUCGAAAAGCGAAUCGAAAUCGUUCGAUUAAUUGCAUAUAAUUUGAGGCCGAUUGAGAUGACACGAUCUCCGGCUAAUUAGCGCUAAACUGAAACUGAAGCUGAAAUCGAAACCGAAAUCAAGAUAAUUUACUAUAAUAAAACAAGAGAGACAACUGUUGAGGCCACCUGGACAUUUGCUUGCCAUGGAAACCCAUUUGGUCAUUUCUGUCGUCUCUGGUUUUUUGACCCAAGUGAACUGUCAAAAAUUGUGAAAAUGCGUCGUUGGCAUCCAUCUGCAUGGAGCAUGGAAAACGUCAUUGGCAAAUGCAUUUCCUCGCCAGUUUUCCUCCACUCUUGCCUCGAUUUCCAUUUUUGGCCGCGGCUUAGCGCGCUUUGGAAAUCAAUCAUGAAAUAUGCUUGCCAUUAACAAUUGGAUUUGAAAUCGAAAUCGGAUUUGGAUUUGCUACAUGUGUACAUGCCUGUAUUGAUCGUCGGUUGGAGCGGCAAACAAUUGGCAAUUUGUUGUUGAUUUUUCCUCAAUAAUUCAAAAUAUUUGAUUUACUUUCGCCUCGUGCCGCAUUGGACAUGUUUUAUUGGGUAUUGCCGGUGGCCCCAGAUCCGAAAUGGAGUGGGGAAAAAAAUCCAGUUCACUUUCGGCUCUGAAGAGAUUCUCCCUUGUUCACCCAGAUAUUCAGGCGUAAAUUUGACACCACUAGAGUGAACUUUUUUGUGUGGUCUCCAUAUCCACCUCCAUCUCCACUAUCCGAUUACCAAACUUGGCCGUCUCAUUAACACUUUUUGGACUUCUCAAUCUUCGUCUGCUUCAAGUGCAAUUAAGAUGCUGGCUGACAUCGCAUUGAAAACCAUAAAAAAAGAGGUACUCCACGAAGCCGAGAGACAACAGACAAGGUCAUGAAUUUGGUUACAACUUGGCUUUUGGGGUGUGGCGGUGGGCGGAAAGGGUAAACCCCCACUUGGCCAGCUCCUUAAAACCCUCUAAAUUGAGCAACCAACUGGCGGGCUUGGCCAAUGAAAUGUUCAUUACGCUACUUUCAUUGUCUUCUUUUUUCUGGUUUUUUCUUUUUUGGCCAGCGGCAAUUAAAAUGAGAUUAUUACCAACGGUUUUGCCUGUUUUUCCUCUCCGUUGUGAUCAAUGUAGUACAGGGAAAUUCAGUUACCGCUAAACCUCAGGCCCAGGCCCAAAGCAGAAACAAAAACCCCAAAACUGAGCCCCUCCUAACGAGUUGUUAAUUGUGUAAUAAAUAGAAAGCUGAAAGCGGCAAUGGAACCUGAAACGAUAUGGCUGAGGGACGGCAAAAGAGGCAGCUGGUAAUCAGUGUUGUAAUAAUUGAAAUUUAAUACUGGAAAAUGUGUGAUAAGUAGGAGCAAUGGAUGGUGGUUCAUAAGCCCGCAGAGCAGAAAACUACCUUCUAUCUACAUUUUAUUAAAUAUGCAUAUUUACAAAUUUAGUUCCUCUGCUGUCGCCAAUAUCACUUAACAGCGUCUUAAUCCGCUUUCUGUAAUUCAGUCGCUUCUCUGUGGCAAGGAGUUGCACAAAUAAUCCCUCCUUCCAAAUCCAAUCUUAAGAGACCCCUUUGGCCAACCAUUCCAAUGACAUUUAACCAUAUUGAGUGGCCAUAAAAGACAAAUCCCCAUACCCAUAAUUACGGGCCGCAGCUGCCAUAGAAAGAUCUACCAACUGGAGAUAAAGCAGCAGCAAUAAACACAACUGAAUAAUGCCAAGCCGAGGGGCAAAAAGGAAACAAAUUAAAAUCUAACAGAUGAAAAAUGGCAAACAAAUUUUGGCUGAAUUCGUUAACAUUGCAAAUGAGUGUGGUCUGGGGAUUCGCCUUUUUUCGGAUAUUUAUUUUCGUCUUUUUUUCUGGGAAGGGGUGUAUCCUUGGGCAACAACGAAUACGACAACGACAUGGGCCUUUUGAAGAUCCGCGACAGCAGCAACAAUGAAAGCUUCGCCUCACUUCACUUUCACUAUCUCCCAGCCGCUUGGCAGAUGAACAUGCAUCCCAAUGCAUCGCAUUGAACCGAUCCGAUCCCAAAGUUUUCCCGCCAUUACGACACCUCAAUUUGCGAUGGCCCCAGCUUCCCAUGCCCAGAAGCCAUGAAAAUCUGAACGAAAAAAGCACACAGAGGAGCCACCUCCUGCGGCCGCCAGUUCCGCCAGCUCCUCCCCCUUUGAUGGUUUUUUCUGGUGGGCACUCCGACUCAUUAGGCCCCGAACAAGUUCAUAACUCUGGAGGUGCAGGGUCAGGCCGAGACACGAGCACAGUGCUGCCGAAAAGUAAACGAACCGGCAAUGAUGACGAUGUUGUUUGGACAUGUGAGCGGAGCGGAGCCACCUGCAAGCACGACCCAAAAUUGAUUUUUAACAGAGUUGCAGCAGAGUGGGAACUCGGCCUCCUCCGCCUCCGCCUCCUUCAUCUCUUUAUCCCAAAGGGUGGAGUACAAAGUAAAAGUUCAACUUGAUUUUAACCUCCCCAUCCAUGGUUUCCAUGGCUUCAUUAACCCCGCUUCCUUUGACGCUUUUGGUCAGGGAAACACUUUCCUCGGAUCGAUCAAUCGAUCGAUCGUCCAGUGGUUCGAUUCAGAUGAUUAUCUUCCAGGGAACGUGAUGGCUACUGCGGCAGCGAAAUCGGUUAACCUCGGCGACAUUAUUUAAUCAACCGCAAAACAAUUUUCGCGAGGCGUUAAUAAUCAUCUUUAAAGGCAGCGGGUUCAACAACUUUGGGAGAUGAUAAAUAGUGGUAUAGGGAAAUAGUGGCAAACUGAAUUUUCAACUGCAUAUCAUAGAGAAUUGUUUCAUAUUCUUCUUUCCCUCUAAACUUUCUCUUCCAGAGAUUUUUGAAAAUAUACACGAGCCUUCGUGAAUUUGUCAACGUUUCUCGCGGCAGUGAAAGUUCCAUUGAUCUUCCUUAGAGUUUUAGUGCCACCGCCACCGCAGGCAUAAACGAACUUAUUCAACGCAAUUGAUUUCACGCAAUAAACGCCCUCGUCCCCACACACAUCAGCACCUCCUUAGAGGAGCUGAGCCCCUCGGCUUUUCCCCCGGAUUUCCAUUCCCCACCGUGCUCCAGCUCCAGUCCAAGUUCAUAAAAAGUCGGCAUGGCUGGAAAUAAAGCCAAUAUUUAUUGUCAAUUCAGCAAUCGGCGCAAAACUUUAUUAGCCAUUUGCCAAUUUGAAUAAAACGAAGCGAACCAGACGAGACAUGGGCCAGCCGUCGAAUGAGGCAGCAGCUCGUUGGCAGAAAUAAGUGGAGGAGUUGUUGGUUAGAGUUGGGGAGAAUACACGCCCAAGCGCCUAAAUUACUGAAUGUGUUUGUGGCGGAGGCAGUUGCCACAUGGCAGUAACAAGUGGCAUGAACGAUCAAUGCCUCACCUUGUGGCGUGCGACCAGUCAAUAGGGAUAUAAAUCAACUGCGGGUCAGGUUGGUAAUGAGUUCUAAAUGCAUAAUGACUUGUGUCAAUUGUUGCCGUUCUAAAAAUAGCCAAAUAUCGAGAUGGAAAAGCAGAUAGGCCCGUAUGCACUGAUCAUUAGCUGGGGCAGAGAACAAACUGCCAGCAAAGCUGCCAUUGUAAUUUGCAUCAGCAACAUGUUCAUGAUCCCUACGAUGAGCGGCCUUCGAUCGACCUGCGAUACAGACUAACAUGGCCAGAGUUCGUCGCAGUCCCACCAGAUCCCGAACUCAUCCCGUUCGGCUGCGCAUUCGAGAAAUGCCAAGAAGCAUAAACACAGAGAUCCAGAGAUCCGGAGAUCGCAGUGGGCCCCUUGAAUCUCCCCCCCAAUCCCUAAGUUUAGCCCCACUCCCGAUGGUUUCCCAUCUGUCGGUCGGUUGGUUGGUCGAGUCUUCGGACUGCUGUCAGAUUGUGUAUCUCUGACUUUUGUUGUUGCUGUCUGUCAAAGGCAGAAAGUGCAUUUCGAUAUUGGAAACAAUUCGAACUUUGUUAAUGCUGAACUUUUUCCCUCGCCGCUCAUUUUGUUUUGUUUGGCAUGGUUUUGGUUUUGGUUUUGGUUUUAUUUGGUUUUUGUGUUUUUGUGUGUUUUUUGCCAUGGACUCUCUUCCGGCAGUGUAACAAUGUUUUUGCUGCAUCGGUUUACCCGCUGCUGUUGUGUUUCUCCUCUAUGUUGAAGGCUGUCAAAGAGAUUUUGUCUUGGCGAUUUGCAGUUUGAUAUGCCAAAAGGUUCCCCCUUCCCUUCCCUUCCAGGCUUUUUGUCUCUGCUUUUCUUAUUUUCCUCUCCAUUUCCGCCAGUUUGCGAAGAGGCAGCGAUUGAGUCACAUCACGACUUUUGGCACCUUGCUCCGCCAUUUGCAUUUCUUCGCGCCUGGUUUGCGGACCUCACUUUCGGCGCCUGGGAGUGGGAAUCUUCUCGGUGAACCCCAGCUGCUGCACCUAACCCUCAUAUUUGUACGAUCCUUACGUGACAAUGGCGGCGAAAACGAGCGGGGUCAUUAUCAUAAAAUCGCCACGUGAUCGAGUCAGCGGUGACAGGAGGUGAAUGAAAAUUGAAUUUUCCUGCGAAUGGUGUUUUAUGAACAGCACGAAAGGUGGCAGGACUUUCUAAUAUAAGCAUGGGCAUGACGUGUUAUCACUGAAGAAGUCUCUAUAGAAACCUAUACUAACUUACACCCAAGCACUUAUUCAACACCAAUGGAUAUUACGUGUGCCCCAAAGCGAUCCAAAAGUAAAUGACAACAAUUAAAGUGCACUUUAAAAGGAAACUGCAACUGAAACUGAAACAGAGAAAGCCAAUGAAUGGAGACACGAAUGAAUGUUAAUUAUGAAAUGAAAUUUCAAAAAUUUCAACAGUCCGAAAUAAAUCCUUAAUCUCGGUCCAUCAUCGCCAAAACUUCAGAAAAAAAAAAAACUUGCCAAUUGGCAAAUGGCAAAUGUAUGCAUGGCUGUCUGCAUUUUUGUUCGGUUUCGUUUUGAAAUUGCCAUGAAAAAUUAAAAAUUGCACGCAAUGCCAAAACGGUGAAAAAUAAUGGCAAAUAUGAACGGGCAAAUAUUGUUGAUAGUUUCGGACCUGAGAAAUGGCAACUUUAAUUGCGGAAACAAAUCAACGGAAAACCAAUGGAAAUGGCUCCUUUUUUCUUUUUGGGAAAAACUUACGUAACCUUGGCGGUCAUAUAUGGUUUGAGUUAUGAUUGCAAGCAAAGGAGGCACUUAUGUCUGCGAUUCUUACCUAGAAAGAGAAGAAAGAAAGGGGAAAAGUGAGUUGGUGGUGACACAAUUUCAAAGGAAAUUUAUGCCGACAUUAGGGGAAACCACUUCCAGAACGCUCUAUAAAUAUAUUAUUUAUGACUAAAUAGGGACAUGAGACAGCAAAUGAUUUGUUUGGCUUAGUGGGGCUUCAAUUUGGGAUUGAAAUGUUGCGGGUGGGUGGCCCACAAAUCCACAAAUUGACAGCUCUCAAGUGGAAGCGGAAGUUUUCCACAUAUGUGCGUACUAUGCAUGGGAAAUCUUCAACUGAAGUGGAGCCCGAAUGAAUUUGGUUGGGGACAGGGGUGGUUUGUUAUGCUAAUUGAAAAGCGAACUAGAAAAGCUUUUCCACUUAACUGGGAAAUUUAUGUAUCAACAGGGAGCGGAGGGGUCGGGGGCAGAGGAAAACUUUUCACCCAAUUUUCUGCCUCGUGACAUUCGCGUGGGUGUGGGUGUGGGUGUGGGCGUGGAUUUGGGCGUGGGUGGAGUGCAGUGGAGUAGUGGAAGGUGCUGACGGAAGGGGGGAAAAUCGGGGACUUGGGCACGCGACGUAUUCGGUCGAUUGGCCUGCGGUUUUUCAUAUCUCUACUCGCUCUCUGUUUCACUCACAUUUCUCUGCCGUCGAUGGCCUGAUUUUCAUGGAAUGCAUUUUUCCCAGUCGAUAGAAAGUUCCUACACAUAAUGCGACUGGCGGAAGAAAUCGAUAACAACCAACCAACAACCAAGUAACAAACAACAAACUUUGCCCCAAAUUGUGCAGACAAAAUCGAUAAGAUAAAGAGUUUGUUUGGAGUUGGAAGCUUACUUUCAUUGUUUGACCAGCGUUUCACUAUCUGAAGGCAUAAAUCAUAAAAUGUUGCGCUAUCAGGGUCAAAGAAGUCAGUCAUAUAUGGAGUAUUAGUUCGAGAAUGGAGGGUAAUUAAUUGGAGAAAUUAGUUUGAUUUAUUAUGGCCUUUAGCGGAUUGGCUUUUCUUUUUCUCAGCCGAAUUCAAAUAAGCAAAUUUGUUUACUAUACACCCCACUCCACUCCACGUCACAUUUUUGCCGCCUUGAUGCGCUCCAAUGGAUUGGCAAACUCCUAAAAAUAUUACGAAUUUAUAGUUACGCCAGCAGAGACACAAAAACACAGUGAAAAGGGGGAAAAACUUGGACAAGUUGAGUGAGACAUUCCCGCAUGGCUGAGACACAUGAAUGGAAUGGAAGGGGGAAAAAAAAGCGCAAGUGGAAAUAUGCAAAUUGUUUAUGUAAACAGAGGAAGCUCCAAGGCAAGGCCGCAACUAGGAAAUGCCCGCGAACGGAACGGGUGGCAUCGACAUAGACAUCGGUCAUGCAUGAGUGGGUGGCAAGAGAGGUCGCUGACCCAGCGAUCCGCGGAUUAAAAGGGUAUUUCCAGGGUGAAGCCAUGUCCAACUCACAGCAGGAUGCAGACCGAAGGAUGAUACCAACUGCACUGGAGAAUGCCAUCAAAGGUUAACAGCAACUAAUAACUUGGAGCUGCACAAAUUGUCAGCAAAUUUGAAUGCCAUUUCAUGGCCUGUCAAUCAAUUUGGGAGAAAUCGAGGGAAACGAGCAGUGCGGCGCAUGAUUUUUUCGGCAGCUAGGGAAAAUGUUUUUUCUGACUCGAGUUUCCCCAUUCUGUGUGAGCAUUUUCCGCGGUGGGACUUCGUUUUUGCCACCCUGGUUGAAAGGUUAACAUAAUAUUUUUUGAUUGCAUUUCAAUUUCUGCACAUUGGCCAUAAAUCUUGCACAAGUGGUAGAAAUUAAAAGUCAUAAAUUACGCUAGAAGACAAACCGCAAUUCCCAUUCCCAUUCCGAUACCCAGUCGGCCAAUUUCAACUGCUGCGACUGUGCAACUGCAGCUUCAACUGCAACUGCAACUGCAGAUGCAAUUGCAACUUUCAAUGCAAGCGGCGUCGCCGGGGCAAUAAAAUUCAAUUUUUUGGCCACUUUAAUUACGCCGAUCCGUAAAUAGAGUCAAAGUUUACCAAAAAGAGCUGACAGCGGAUGACAACCGACCAGUUGGUGGCUCACCCAGUGGGUGGCUAACGACUUUUUAAUUGAAAUUACAUGGCCUGCAAGCGAUUCCCUGAAGGAAUUGAAAAGCCAUUGCAAAAGGAGAGAGAUGGAAUCUCACGUGGUAAAUAAUAAUAUCCCAAUAUAAUUUAGUUAUUACAUUUAAAUAUGAUUUUACUUCGUAUUUUUGAAAGCUGGGAGAAUGUGUAAAUUGCGUAUUCUUGCUUAGAUCUAAACUAGUUUUGUUUCCCAUGCUCUUCCCCCUCAAAAAGCAAAUGUUACACAUGUCAGCUGCUCCAAACAAAAUAAUUCAGAAUUCAGUUUCCCUUCCUUCUUCCCUUUUAUGUGGGCAGAGCUUCCAGUGCUUUGUACUCAAGAGCUGUGUGUUUUUGGAGUUCGGCGACAUGGGCUUAAUUAUUUUCUAAAUGAUUUCCCAACAGUUCGGUGUACCUACAAUGUUUUGUGUCAGCCCACAGAAACAACACAUGAGAAUACAAACACAUGUAAGGCAAGUUUCGAUACCAAAGACCCAAGAUUCAAGAUGCAAGACCCAGACCCUCGACCAAGCCUAGAUCUAUUGUUCGGAGAGUAAUGACGCCCCCACAGAAUGGGAAAUGGUUACCCGAGUUGCGAAGGCACAAAUUAAUCUGUGCGUUUUCGAACUCCUAGUUGCGUUUGAAGUGAUAACAGGCAUAAUAAAGUUUUCAACACUCUGUGGGGCUCGAAGGGGACUGGGAGCUGAGUAUCUGCCCACAGAUGCGAGUACAACAUGCAACAUCUGAGGAUGGGAUGGUGGCCAUCGAACCAUCCUAGACCAUCCCAUCCCAUUCCAAAUCCAACUACAAAUCCAAUCGCAGCAAUUCCAUCCCAUGACGUUGUCAUUUGGGAUUGCGUGACGAUGGCGCAUUUCUCGCCAGGAAUCAAAUUGAAUCUUCGUUUCGGGUGCUUGAAUUCAAAUUGAUGAGUUUGAUGGUUUUAUAAAUGUCUUGCAAACGUUUUGGGCUUUCGGAAUGAGAGAAAUCUUCGCUUAAUUUAAGAGCUUUACUGUCUUAACUGUCUUGCAUAACAGGAGGACUCCUGAACUCUGAUCAACCUUUUGCCGACAAUCCUCGGCUGCAGCUACAAAUUAUUGUGCACAUUUUCUGUUUUUUUUGUGAGCAACUCAUAAAUUAAAGUUGCGCCCGAACCGCACCCGUCCAUCAACUUUUAUUUGCGCCUUCAACUUGAGAUGUACAACUUUUCGGGGCUUGUCUGCCGGAAAACUGAUAUUGUUGUGCAGAUAAUGUGAGGAUGGGUCGUUGUCUGUUUGGCAAUUCAAGAGCAUCGCGAUUAGACAUUAUAAAUCCAAAUGGAAAAGGAAAGGUCGGGGCUUCAUUAUGGAAAUGGAGAUGGAGUUGGAGUUGCUGUGCAGGCAGGAGAAAGUCAGAAACUAGAACCAAGGUGUGCAGCUCGAGGUUUUUAGGCAGAAACAAGCGGAUGCCGCCUACAGUUUCGGAGUAGUAAAUAAAUGGAUUCCCCUUCGAAGGAGAAGGCUCCACUCACAAUGAUGAGUUGCCACCCACUUAAUGUUCGCAACUUUCCCAUACCCGUUUGCAAAUACAUUUUUAAUUAUCCGAUACUCUGGUGUCCGGUUUUAUUUCAGUUGUUGUUAAGUGCUGUUUACCAGUUUGCCCAUUUUAUUAAAUUAACCGGAAAGCUCUUAAAAAUAAAAAACAAUUAUGGAAGACAAAGCAAAACAAGAGUUUCAAUUACCGAACUACAAGACUGGGAAACAGGUGGCUAAAGCUCGACUCUCCCGUUGAGUUUGCUCAUUUGACAGGAUAGCAAUUUUCACAGCCCCUCGACCCCUUUUCCCAGCCACGCCCACACUUACAGUGGCGCGUGAAAAUUUUAUUGCGAUUGUUGUUCAGAUAAUUGUCGGUGCACCAGCACCAGCAACCCGAAUCUCAUUUACGACCGACUCCGAUCUGGUCACGUUCGCGGGAUUCUGCCUGGGAAAUCGAAAAAUCUGAAAAUGGAAAAAUCGGGAAAUGACACCCAUGGCGUUUCGCGCCGGAAGAGAUUGCUCUCGGCGAUCCUUCAUCGGUUUCCUCAUUACGGAAAAUUACCCUGGGCCCGAAAAGAUACUUGCCAGUUAUAGUUAACUCGCACCAAAUCCAAAUCCAGUAGCUCCAACUGCACUGUAAUUUACACUUUCGUCCAGAAAUUGGGCUGGAAAUUGGAUGCGGUGUGGUAAUCAUGGCAAAUGGGGGCUUCCAGAGCGAAUCGUUCUUGUUUGUGGACUCCAGAAUGACGGAGGAUUGGACGAAUGGGCGUACUUUACACCUCUAAUCCGCGGCAAGGCCAAAUGUCAGUUUUCAUUGGCAGAGACCUGCAAUUUCUAGGGCUUCUUAUAGAAGGAACGCCUUCGAGAUAGUUGAGCUCUUUUAACCAAAGAAGGCCGAUUCCAAAUUCCAUUUCAAAGAUGUUCUGUAGUUUAAUUUUCUCUCUCGGGUGUAUCGUCCCUCUUCUUUUCCCCCAAAGGCACUUAGCCCUUUCCUCAAGCUCUUUCCACGUCAGAGCUGACAGCUGGUUGUAGCUCCUGGAAAAUAGCUAGCUCAGGCACUUCCUCCAGUAGGUCGAAAUCACAUUAUUAAUAUCCUCUGCUGUGGGAGUGGGAGUUUUUCCCAAAGAUUGUUUUUCACACUCGGGCUAAGUGGAAAUGCUUUUCAACUUUGCGUUUCCGCAUGCGCUUUUCGCACAAAAAUUUCAAGUGAAAAUGCGUGGUGAGAGGGCGGAGCCACAUGCCACAGAAAAUCGCGCGUUUUUCACUUGGCACAGUGGAUUUCCGGGCUUUUCUUUUAUAGACCACGACCACCCUCAAUUAUGCAAACGAAUUUGUACGUCAAAUUGUGGAAAUUGAGGCGAAUUGAGGGGAAUUAAGGUGAGGCAAACUGAUCAUUUAGUUUGGGCAGUUUUCGGGCUUCCUUUAAGACGAGUACGUCUCUUCUUUGCAUAAUUAGUUGACCUCAGAAGAAAACGGGCAGGUUUAAUAGGAGGCUUAGGAAUUGAAGGUUCCUUGGUUCAGGGCCAUUUGCAUGCGGUCAAAACAAAGUCGAAUUUGAUACGCGGCUUGGCUGGGGAGAAAUAUGGUGAAAGCCAAGUGCCAGAGUCUUCUUCAUUGGCUUUAUGCGAGUAUAUGGUGGCUUUAAGGCUUAAGGCUUUGGCGGUCGCAAAGACCUCCAGAGUGGGAGGUGUCGACAGGGGUUAACCGAAUUAAUUUCCCAUUCAGUCACCGCUUAGAGAGAUGCCCCCGAGCAGAUAAUCGAAACCCCAAAGUCCGCGAAGCGAGGAAAGACUUUUGCAUGACUUUUACUUGGUCUGCAAACGCAAACAGUGCAUUUGUGUACCCUGUUUUAGGUGGAUACUGAUUGAGAUUAUGUAGAUAAAUAAAAGAUUAAUUUAAUAACCUGAGUGAUGAUCACAGGGCAUGUAUUUUGGUAAUGGGCAUCAACCAUUCUGAGUUAGUCAUUUGCACAGUUUAUGUUUAUACAACUACGAUCACAGGGUAUUCAACUCUUCGAUCUCAGUGGUAUGCAUUCCUUUGCAGUUGCGAUUUCUGGUUUGUCUUGGCUCAAUUUGGUGAUGCGGCGGGGUUAUCAGCGCCCCAACAUCUUCCAAAAAUGCAAAAGUAAUGUUAUGCUUGGGGGCGGAUCCGAGGGGCACUUUUCAGCUUUUCAGUUUUUCAGUUGCCUGGUGUUGACUUUUCUUUAAUGGCUUCCGUUGAACUUGGGGAGGUCUCCAGCCAUCCAGUCACCGCGGCAUCGGAAAACUGCAACUGCAGCAGCAGCUCAGAGCAAGGAAAAACAGCUGCGGAAAAAACUUUGGCCGGCGGCGAAGGUCACGAACGUCAAGUGCGUUUUUUAUGCUGGCGUGGACGGGCGGAAAAGGGGGAGGGAGAGAGAGACUUUUAGGGGAUUCCCCGGGGCACGUGACUUUUUUGGUCAGGUGGGUAAUUAAGCGAAAGAGCCAAACAUUUGGUCAACGCCAAAGGCGGCAAUGAACUUUUGCCCGCCACACACAAAAAAUGCAUUACGGAUAAGUUGCAUCACCUGCUGAUGGAACGGAUUUCCACAGCUCUUCUGGGCUCUUCACUCUUCGCUCAGCGAUUGGUUUUCAGCGUUUUGCUGGGGUAACUAAAUGCCUGGGAGAAACUCCAAUCUGAGAACAAGCGAAACAAUAAACAAAAACGCAUAAAGGGAAAUUGUUUUCUGUGUUUAUGGAUGGAAAAACUAUGUAGUUAUUGUCGGUGGUGCAAAGUGCAGGCAGGUGGCUAGGAGGGGAAGGAACCCAAGUGAAAACCCGGUGAAUUGGAACGACAGCACUUCCUGAAGGAGAAACGAAGGCGCUCUGUGGUCGUACUUCUAGUUCUGGCCAACUGAAAAUGGGGAAUGGUAAUGGAAUGGAAUGGAAAUGGAAAUGGUAAUUGCAGCGGGUUUCGAGCAUGGUAAUAAGUGUAGCAUGUGCUGGCGAUUGUUUUGGGCGGAUCUGAGCCGGUGAAUUGAGAGCGGAGAAUGUUGUGCUUAGUUGAAAAUUCGGGUGUUAUUAAAUAUUGUGAUUAAAACACCACGUUCCAACAUCAAUCACUCUUUUAAUACCUGUCAGCACAAGUUUGGCUGUUCGAAAAACAUUUCAUAAUUAGAAAUGCAACAUUAAGUGGUGUGUUGUUUUGGUCGAUAAAUCAAUAAAGCUUGGUUCUAUCCCAUUAUUUCUAUAAUACCACUUGUUCACACCUUUCAGAUCUUCUCCUAGCUAAUACUUCCUUCUUGGCAUAUUCUGUGCUCCUCCUGGUUUUAGUUUCACCCCUGGGAAUCCUCCCUCUAGUAGCAGCUGUUCCACGAAUAUCUCUCACAUCUCGUCCACUCUCCCAUUAGAUAACUGCCACUACACAAAUUUAUUAUUUGGCUGCUUCAGCUGAGACAAAUCAACGCAUUGCAUCUCGAAUCUCGAGUUACAGCAUGAAUUUCACGGCUGAGGGCGGGAGAUCCAGUGGGAGCCCGCUUUAUGGAUGUCAUUACGCUGCUUCGGUAAGUGUGACCACACAAAACACAACUGACACAAACAAAACUGGGUUAAUUAGUAUUGCCUCAUACCAAAUACCAAAUAGCUCGUAGCAAAUAGCAAGUACUAAACCGGCAUAGGGUCUAUGCCAGAUGAUAUCCCCGUAGUAGUAGUCGAAAUGAAACCCGUUUGCUCUUCAGUUCGUUCCGCUCCACAAUUGCAAGUUGCUGUUGCUUCCGGUCGAAUUUUGGUUUUUUAUGAUUACUAUUAUUUUUUAGCCUCUUUUUUUAUUGUUUUGAGUUGAACUUUAAUUGGAAUUAGUUUGACGAGGGAAAACUAAGCUGCCUUAAGUGUGCUGGUGUCCCAUGCCUUAUCGGGUGCAUUUGCCACCCUCGAUCUCGUUUCCCCACUUCCUCUACUUCCUCUCCCUGCCAAACACGCCAUAUUUCAUGACCAUAAUGAGGCGGUGUCCCUUUGGAAAAUGUGCUUUUGGCUUAUGUGACCGAAUGCAGGUGCCGUUUGUUCUGCGACGCAGAAAAAUAUUAAUGAUCCACUUAAUUUGAUUUCCACCACGGUUAUGAUAUUUGCUCUUACUCAUAUUGGUUUUCUGAUAGCGCACUACGUUGGACAGAUAAGCAAAAGCAACCAAAGUUGAUAAAAAUACAAAGUAGCAGUGGAAAUGAUUUCAGAGCGAAACGGUUCAUUGAUGUUUUUAGGGAAAUGGAACUGAACUAUAUCCAUUUUUAUCAAUGGAUUGAAUCAUGUUAGGCAAGAGUUAAGGAAUGAACUCACGCUCCACUCAUGCGAGAUCACUUCAGAAUGGAAUGCCCUUAGCACAUUUUUGACACGAAGUUGACAGUGAUAUUUUAGUUAUGUGGUAUCAACUGUGGGCUUCGCCAUGGGAUAAUAAUUACGUGAUCUACAUCCUCCGAGAGCCGACAGUGAUGGGCGAGAAUCAUGACUGACGCGAGCUACUUUAAUAUUUGGAUGCCAGAAGGGAGUCGCCUUAGGGUUUGACUACCGCCCGACAAUUAAUGCCUCAAAACUUGACUUGGCUUGGCAAAACUGGAACAAUCUCUCCACGGGUAACCCCCGCAACCCCCACAGCCCGCUUCUCCUUUUGAAGCCGUGCCGCAAUUUGCAAAUGAAGUAAACUGGAAAGAAGAAAAGCACAAAAAACAAAGAGCGUCUCUUGCAACGGUAUAAUUAAGUUGGCCUCAUCAGCCAUUUACGGCUUUUGGUCUACAGAGGCAGAAACAAACGAUCGCGUUUUGUGGCACAGACCCUCAGUUUUUGCUUUUUUUGCCUUCCUCGCAUUUAUGCUGUUUUGCAAGCGGAACUGGGAUCUUGAAACGUGGAACGUGGAACUUGGAACUUUCCACCACAAGACACAGCCCCAAAAACACAGUAAAAACUGUUCUUGGUCUUGUCGAAAUUGGUUUGUUUAUGGCCAUACUGCCAUACUGCUGUUUGGUUUGCCCAUUGUUUGUCUAAUUAGAUUUUGAAAGCAAAGGCACGCAAAUCGAGUCCCAGUCCAACUUGAACAGUUAUGACAGAUCGCUCUUGUGCAACCAGCUCUCUCAACCGACCGACUAUAUAUAUCUCGAUAUCGCUUUGUCGGCAAAUACCCACCGAUUUUCCCCCGCCAAUCACAUAAUGCUCGAAUAUUCGGGCCUUGCAUCGAUACGAUAGCCUGGCCAUUUAAAAGCCGCAGCAGCGCAGCGCUGGAAAAACAAAAUUGUUUUCUUGGAAUUUUCUAUUCGCGUUUUGCGGUUUGGCCAACAAAAGGCUUGGCCCGGCCGAGACAAUUAAGCCAAGCGAAAUACUUACGAGUGCUCAUAAGAAAUAUUCAUAGGUAAAAUACUUUGGACUUUGGCUUACCUGCAACGAGAGAAAAUUUCAAAGAAUUUUAUUAGUUGACUUUUCUUUUUUUCGUCUGUCGGAAGGUCAUUAAAAUUAGUGCGCCUUUGAACUUUGCUACACACUUCAGAGCAGAUGAAGUGUCGUAAACUUUGAAUAAGUAGGAGAAGAACCAACUUAAAAGGGGGCACAAGUUUUCCGAAGUCGGCGACAAAGUUGAGUGAAAUUUUACGAUGUUACUGGGGCAGUUUAUGGGCCCUAGUUUUAUAUUAGUUUAAUUAGUGCUUGAGUCUAGAGCAAAUAAACCACUAAUUUGAUGAUGAUGUGAUAGAAGAGAGUGCAGCCAUGUAAAACUCCAAAGCAAGAGACCAACUAACGCCCACAAUUGUGGUCUCCAUGUUACUAUGACUCAUGAUGAUGAUGAGCAUCAAAUGAUUUUAAAGUGCCCAUUUCAUGUGUGACAUCUUUGUUUUAAAUCUGACAGAGAAGCUCUUAACCCCUUUUCAAUAAUCCGGUUUAAAACCGUUCGUCAAACGAAUUGUCUAUUAUUUUAAGUAACCAACAACCAACCGAAUGAAAGUUAGUGCUGCAGGGUAUAAACUCCUCCCAACCCACAAUUAUAUAGCUAAUAAACUGAGUCCACAGCUGGUUAAGCGCCAUUAAACAAUUUCCAAUUUAUGUUACCCACAUGAAUAAUAAAAAUCUUCUGUAAUCUUCUGUACAUAAAUCUAAGGACACACAGGAACGCCUAAUUAAGUUUACUUAAUUGAACCUGCUGAGCCAUUUAACUCACACUUUUCACUUUCAUUUUGAGGUAUCGUAGCCCCUCGUGAAGCAACCCAAAAACCAUUUCAUUUUGGCCAUCAAAAGUGCCGCGAUUAGACCAAGCACACAUUCACACUCACACCUGCAAACAGUAGCUUUGAUUGACGCUUUUAUGGCAGCUCCAACUAUCCGACUAUUCGACUAUCCGACUGCAUCUCACUGCAGCGAGCGCAACAAUGCAGUUUUCUCCAUUAAAUAGUUGUAAAAGUAAAUAUUAUCACACCGCGCCAGGAAAAGUUGAAGUCUUUGUCUCGCAAAAUGUUUAUUAAAAUUUCAAUUUCGACCGAAAAUUGCUGGUGAUUUGAAUGCAGCGAUACCAGCAUGUGCAAGUUGCUCUAUAAUUUGAACUAUGUAUCUGCAGCUCGGCGUAGAUACAAAUGUAUCUGCGACUGACCACUGGCCACUGGGGCGAAAAUCCACUUAGGUAACACCAAAUACGUCUCUAAAUAUAACGUUUAUAUGGCAGCUCUAGCUUUUAUGAGCAAUUAAAAGCCAAGUCCUGAAACUGAAAAUCGCCAGCCUCAUGCCUCUUGAAAGGAGAAGCCAAACAAGAGCCCCCCAGCCAACUUGUUGCCUUCCCCGUCCGCAGUUGGCAUUUGAUAUCGAUGAUGUCUUUGUUUCACUUACGAGCCCAGAGAAAUUAUGCAAAAUUCAGCUCGCAGCAGGGGACGGAGCCCCAACUCCAGAGUUGAAACCCCAAAAUCCCCGAGCGCCCCCAGCGAAGCCAAGAAAAGCCAGCCAAGGAGAUCGCAGGCCGCAGAUUUUUGCGGUUUGAAAAGGCGGGGAAAUAUGUGGGGGCUCCCGAGAGAAGGAUUGCAGGAAAACAAGAAAAGAAACUUGCGACAGACAGAUAUCUUCAUACGUGGAUCUUACAUCUCCACAUGCAAGAUGAAUUCAUAAGGACGCUGUUGAAAGUAGUCCAAACUAAAUUCAAGGGAAAUAGCUUCGCAUAAGUACCAUGAUAUUGCAAGGUAUUUUCUUAAACUACAUACGCGAUAACUCGAAAAUUACGAAAUUGUCUCCUUUGUGAAACAGCCUUAAUGCGAUAACUGGCCGUUGAUUUUCAUUAAUAAAUCACUUUCUUCAAAACUGUUUCGAUCGAAAAUUGGCCAAGUCCAGUUAUAAUCAAAAUAUUUUAAUAAGAGCGGUAUGAGAGUAUGCAAGGUUUCACUCACUUAUGAAACGCACUGUCUAUGCGAUAAAACGUCUACCUCCACAGAUGCCUAUAAUCAAGGGACUAUAAGGUAUCAAUUACAAUUCAGUCUUACUACAAAAAGCCAACGGACACAAAAUGAACCUUCGAGCCACGGAUAUUUAUAUAAAACUUACAACCCUUGCUUCCCGGACUUGUAUGAUUUGUUAUCUCCCAACAACUCUACAUCGCUUGGUUGAAUUUUUUGUGUUUUUCAGCAAAAAACGAAAGUGUUUUCGAUGCCAAUUGGUGGCAAGUGCAACCUCGUAUGCGUGAUAAACCAAUUAACUGAAAUCCAAGAGCGCCGAAAAAGUGAAAUUUUCGGUAUCUUUCGCUAAAGACAAGGCAGGGGUCAAAUGCUCAUGGCAUACAACAUCAUCUGGUGUGCGGGAGAUCAAAAAAGUAUUGGAGACUGUUUGGACCGAGCUGGCUAAUGGAUUGGUUUUUGUUUUGGGUCCAGUUUGUUUGACAGUUGCUAUAGAGACGUCAGUCAAGCGUCUGAGAUUCUGAUAAGUAAAUAUUUACAUAGGGAAAGGAUGUCUGUAAAAGAGCUUUCUAUUGCCCAUUUGAAUGCUUAUAAUCUUUCAAAUGCUUACUUUUUGGAAAAACACUUUGUAGAGCAAAUCUCAAUCAAUCAAGCACGAAUGGCGACAGCCAGGCAGACAGACAAAGCCAGGUAAACAUUAAUUGAGUCAUUAAGUGCAAACAAGGCGAGGCGAAACUGAUUAGAUAAAAUUGUAUAGCAUUUGAAAUGGUUAUUAAAAGAAUAAAUAAUGAAGCCAAGAGAGUGCAAAUGAUAUAGAAGACAAAUAUAUUACAGGAGUUACGGAUAAUUAA